GCCUGGGUGGCUCGGUCGGUUAAGCAUCUGACUUCAGCUCAGGUCAUGAUCUCACGUCCGUGGGUUCGAGCCCCGUGUCGGGCU
rnacentral:tRNA from 1 species